UUUGACUCGAACAAUUAUUUCCUAACCGCCAUAUUAUAUUGCAACCACCGAGUAACCACUCCCGGAAUUUUGGAUUUUUAGUUUUUUCUGCAUAUAUAUUUUCUGAGCCCUAAUACUUUAUUGUGAGAAUAUUAUUCGUCGCUUCUAGGGAUUUACUAUGGAAAAUACAGUGAAACGUAAUGUGAGAUAUCAAAAAUGUACUA
rnacentral:misc_RNA from 1 species